rnacentral:rRNA from 1 species
GAUUAUGGCUCAGGAUGAACGCUGACAGAAUGCUUAACACAUGCAAGUCGACUCGAGUCUUCGGACUUGGGUGGCGCACGGGUGAGUAACGCGUAAAGAACUUGCCUCUUAGUCUGGGACAACAUCUGGAAACGGAUGCUAAUACCGGAUAUUAUGGUUUUUUCGCAUGGAGGAAUCAUGAAAGCUAGAUGCGCUAAGAGAGAGCUUUGCGUCCCAUUAGCUAGUUGGUGAGGUAACGGCCCACCAAGGCAAUGAUGGGUAGCCGGCCUGAGAGGGUGAACGGCCACAAGGGGACUGAGACACGGCCCUUACUCCUACGGGAGGCAGCAGUGGGGAAUAUUGGACAAUGGACUGCAAGUCUGAUCCAGACCAAUUCUGUGUGCACGAUGACGUUUUUCGGAAUGUAAAGUGCUUUCAGUCGGGAAGAAGUCAGUGACGGUACCGACAGAAGAAGCGACGGCUAAAUACGUGCCAGCCGCUGC